rnacentral:lncRNA from 1 species
CUCCCCUCCUUAUAUAAAAUUCGUCCUCGAAUUUAAAAGAGUAAAUUACCUGAUUACUCAAAGAGGUGAGGGUAUUUGCUCUUUAUAUUCUGCUAGGUGUGGUAUUGGGAAUCAAAUAAAUUGGAAGUGUUUUACCUUCUAUCUCUACCACAUAGGUAGGAUAUACAUACUUCGCUUCUAUACUAUCCCCUACAGAUGUACUAAUAGCUAAGGGGAUAUGCAUUAAUAUCUUAUCCUUGCUAACUUUUUAGCAAAAUAAGGGGAUACAAAUGAAUGGGUAGCUCCAGAAUCAAAUAACACUCUAACUUUAAUCUUAUCAAUGAGGAGCAUACCUGUCACAGCUGCAUUUGAUGCCUAUGCCUCCUGUGGAUUUACCGUGGACACCCUUCCUUGCCCUCUGCCUACUAGAGCUGACAGUUGAGAUGGUCCAGCACUCUGCUGUGAUGCUGGUGUCUGACCUUUGCCUCUGCC